rnacentral:lncRNA from 1 species
CCGUGUUUCUGGAGCAGGUGGCUCAGAAAUAGCAUGAGGACCCAGAGUUAGUGAUAAUUGCCAAGACUGUUCAGUCAGGCAAGAAUGAAGAAUUCAGAUUUGACAGCAAAGGGAUCCUCCGCUAUGGGAACAGGUUAUGUGUACCAGAUGACGUGAGCCUGAAGGGAGAUAUUAUGAGAGAAGCUCAUAAUGCCAGAUACAACGUUCACCC